rnacentral:tRNA from 1 species
GGCCAUAGCUCAGUGGCAGAGCAUCUGCUUUGAAAUGCAGAAGGUUCCAGGUUCAAUCCCUGGCAGCAUCU